AAAGUACUCCCUCCGUCCAAAAAAAGAUGUCUCAAGUUCGUCAAAAUUUGGAUGUAUGUAGACAUCAUUUAGUGUAUAGAUGCAUCCAAAUUUAGUCAAAAUUGAGACAUCUUUUGUUGAACUGAUGGAGUAUAUG
rfam:Brachypodium distachyon strain Bd21 chromosome 2, whole genome shotgun sequence.